ensembl:lncRNA
ACCCUGCUCGGCUUACUAUUUUUGUUAACAAUAGGUCAAGAGGUCUGUAUGCUAAUUUGCGUGCUGAUAACAAGCUUUGAUGUUGCAAAUCAACUGUCAGAUCAAAGCCCGGCCUUGCAGACCCACGAGGGUUUGGCAGCCACAAUCUCCAACCUCCCUGUUUUCAGAGACCAAUUAACACCUGCCUCCAUUUAAUUGCCUGAUGCCCUACACACUGCAAAAAUGCUUAGCAGGUGAUUAGCGAUGCAAAAUAGGUGCUGGCGAGACCAGUCAGCCAAAGCCUGCAUGUUUAAAAACUCCUGUAAAGUUGAGCCAAUCAUUUGGGCGGCUGUUCCCCAGGCAGAGCUCUCGGCAUGCUAAAAAGAGGUCAAGAUGAAACCUGCCGAGAGGAUUCUGAGACUCACAAGUGAGCGUUUGGUAAAUUAAGAUGCAAAGGAACAUGCACAACGUGCGUUUUUGGACUAUUGAUUAACAUCCUUUUAAAACAGUAGGUGUCAGCUUCCCUGGGGAAAUCAGCGGCUUUCAGAGUCACCCUGCCUGGUGUCCCGUCCUCACAGCUGGCUGUGACAAGACCUCGUACCCAACCAUGAGGCAACCAAGAGACUUGGGAAGAGACAGCUGACUUCCAAUGCAGUACACCAACUAAAAAAAUGGAGCACCAUCCACCCGGAGCUGAUCCGAGUCAUCAGUCAAUCUGUAGAUGUGCACUGAGCUCUGAACCCAUCAGACUCCAACUGCUGCAUCCUAAAUUACUCCCAACAGCUGUUUGCGAUCAAGUUUUUCUGGAAUAUACGUACAUUGGCAACACCUGUAAUCCAGAACAUCUGUUUUCACUGCCAAAGCAGCACUUGCCCCAUCUGCCUGGAACAUAUGAAGUCCUGACGCAAACCUCUGCCAGGAGGAACCUCUUUAAGAAAUAUCCAGGGAUUGUUGAGCCAUCUUACCCCCAGCGUCCUUGAAUUAUUCUUAGAAAAUGUCCUUGUGACUUUGACAUGUUCAUAAUAACAUUACAUGUUCGCCACGCAUCCCUAGAGGAAACGUGUCACACGUGCAUAUGUGAAUCAGAUUAGAUGAAUAGCAUCAGUAUGGCCUAACUGUUCCAUAUAGAAACAUUUCAGAUGUAUAAGUGCGCCUAGAGAAACAGACAAUGUUUGACACCAUGAAAUCAACUUCAACCCACGUCCAAUUCAUCUCACAGCAAGAGCCCAGAAACAAGUUAGCCUGCAAAUUAGAUCUGCUGCAUUCAUAUCUUGUAAUAUCUUGUAAUAUGCAUAAUAUAGACUCAAAUAGCUUUCGCCUCACAAUUACAUGAUAGGACGUGUCUGCCACAAGUGUAUGGCAGAAAGUCUCUCAUCUUCAUUUAUAUAAUUUGAGCUUUCCAAUUUAAGUUUUUCGUAUAAUUACCUUGACUGAUUGUAAAAAGGAGAAUGUUCCAAGGCCCUGAAUGAAACUAUUUCUUAUUGCGUUUAUGACGAGUGUAGCCAAUGAAGCUGAAAAGCCAGUAAAGCAUCUUGUGAAAAAGCUGUGCCCAUUAAAUUUCAGAACUCAGAGGAAAACAGCUGAGGCUUAAUUUGGAUAUGAUGAGAACAGCAGAACUUGCAGGAUAAAGACCGUUUUGAUUCUACUUCAACAAGUUAAGUAAAUAGUUCACCACAAAAAGGAAAAUUCAAUCAUUAUUUACUCACCUCAUGCCGUUCUUAACCGUAUGAUGGUAUUUUUUUUUUUCUUCUGUGAAACACGCAGGAAUAAAUGCUGAACCAUCUUCAUAUAGAUUUUUUCUGAUGAAUUCCAAAAAUAUGUCAUGAGUAA